rnacentral:rRNA from 1 species
AAACUGAAGAGUUUGAUCCUGGCUCAGAUUGAACGCUGGCGGCAUGCCUUACACAUGCAAGUCGAACGGCAGCACGGAGCUUGCUCUGGUGGC